GCAGAGGGAAAAAUGACUAGAGGCACGGAGGGUAUGAGAGGCUUUAAAUCUUAGUACACCAUUCUGAGAAGGUCGCAGAAUAGCUUUGAGCCUUGCUUCCAAGCCAGGAGAAACCAGGAGCCAACGGCUUGCUCCAGCCUUUUGUCUUCUCCACACUGUCCAUCUCACGCUCCUUAGUUCCUUGUCUUUCCUUGCCAGCAGGGACCUAGUGUGUUAAGAAGGCUGUGCCUUUGAGCCCUGAGGAAUCUGACAAUGGCCUUCCUCACAUUGUUCCCACAGUAACCAGAGCCAGCUGUCCAGGCCGGCCAGCCAAGUUGUGGCUCAGGGUCACACACAACAGGACCUCUGCUCAGAGAACUUCAGCUCCAGACUCUCCCUUCCCAGGAACUUUUUCUUCAAGUCAGCACACUCCUGGCAACUCACGAACUUGCCAAACUCCCUACAGAGAUGCCAAAUCUUCACAAGAAAUGCCCAAGCCUGCAGAGAGAAUCAGAAGAUGAAGGGCUUUGCAUAAGUGAGCUUUAAAAGUCCGCUGCUCAACGGUCCUCCUUCCACUCCUCAAACACUCAAAGCUAUAGUCAGUCUUCGGGGAAAGGACUUUGGAGUGAGGAAUAGAAAGCAAAUAAAGCCAGCUCCCAUGGGGAUGAAUGUUGUCCCAUGGAACAUGUUACCAGUGUCCAAGAGAUUCAUCAGACUUCAGUGGUUGAACAGCAAAUCAUAGGCCCCAACACUGUCUCCUGGUAUCCUACAAUCAGAGUUCAGGAAAAGGUUUCCAGAAGGAAGCAGCUCUGAGCUACUUACUGCUGGGGGAGUAUCAGCUCAAGAGACAACGUAACACACAUACUUGUUCCCAAAGGGUUUGGAGAGCAAUGACUGCAGGAGAUGAGUGGGAAAGCAAGUAGAGGUUAGAGGUCAUGUGCAGAGGAUAUCAGGCAACUUCUAAGUUGACCCGGGAAAGUCUAAAGUGCUUCUGAAGGCUUACAUAGAGAAGUGGACUUCUCUGAAGUAUACUAUGUCCAGUGGUUGGCACUCAAACAUGUUUAGCUCUGAAUUCCCUUUCCAAGAUUUUCUGGUUGGUUUGUUUUAAGAUGCCUGCUCACCAUCUCUACAUGGAGCCCCUGCUAUAGCACUUCCAAUGGGGCUAAAUUAAAGUUCUAUCAUCUCUUCAAGAUCUGGCCUGGGGUUGUAGAAAAUGUUAUAAGUCCCGAAAUAUACAAGGAACUGAGAAAAAAUAUUCUGGAGGCAAUAUCUUUGAAUUGAAAAACAAACAAACGAGCAAACAAAAAACCCAAACAACCACAACAACAAAAGCAAAGGAAAAGCCGAUCUAUGUCUAUACCAGUCAUUGCUUUCUAGUUGUAUCCAGGAAUUUUAAGGAAUCAAAUGCAUCUGUGAAUGUAUCAUAUGCUGCACGUGUGCAUGCAGGAGGUGCAUAUGUUGGGGAACCUGGGAGGUAAUGCUAAACCAGCUUUCAAGAGCAUGCGCUUUCACUGGCAACCAGAAUGGCUUUCUUGCCACGCAAAGCUGCCACCUUGCACCUGGAGUUUCUCUCUAAAAGACAAAGUAAAGUACAGAACAAGAAUCAUAACUUACUGUUUUCAGUAUCCCAUAACACUAGGUCCAAAGCGAUCCAUACAUGUAGGGGUUGGUUCUGAUGCUAAGGUCCUGUUCCCCAAUUGGUUCUUGAUUCAUCAAUAAAGAUACCAGUGACCAAUGACUGAGGACAGGGGUAAGAGGGCACUUAGAGUUGUGCCAGAGGACACAGGGAGAACCAGGGAAGGAGAAGGAGGCAGUAGCUGCAGGAGAUAAAGCCAACAGUCGUGUGAGUUUUCUGCUGGAGUGGCCAUGGCCACUCUAUCCGAUUAAAGACGUUUUAAAAUUAA